CCUUGUUCACAAAACCACGGCACAGACACAGACUCCAAAGGAAACGGCAUUCUCAUAAGACACUCUGCCACGCAGAUAGAGCCAGGCAACUGCCUGUGGUCAUCAUCCUCUGACUCUCAGAGGCGGGGGCGCCCGGCUCUCCUCCGGAGCCCACUGAUUGUCUGUGACUCAGGGGAGGUGACUUUGUUCCACCGCAUCGUUCAUCAUCGCCUGGCGAUGGAGAUAGAGACACUGAUAUGUGCAAGCCCUCCUGGACUCACUCCAGCAGUGAUACUAGACUGGUCAGUUUCAUUCUCUGUCUCUGGUCAGUUUCACAUUCUGGUUCUCCUGCCUUAGACUAACCCAGGGGUCAGCAACCUUUCAGAAGUGGUGUGCCGAGUCUUCAUUUAUUCACUCUGAUUUAAGGUUUUGCGUGCCGGUAAUACAUUUUAACCAUUUUAGAAGGUCUCUUUCUAGAAGUCUCAGAGUAACAGCCGUGUUAGUCUGUAUCCGCAAAAAGAAGAACAGGAGUACU